rnacentral:rRNA from 1 species
AUGACGCCGAGCUCGCCGGACACGGUCUCGCCGGUGUCGAGCGUCACGCCGGAUGACGGGUCGACGGCGGCGGCGCGGGCGUUGAGGCGAACGGAGCCCGCGGGGAGGCGGUCCGCGAGCUGCCCGGCGAUGGCGCCGAUGCCGGCCUCCGGCAGGGCAUUGUCACCAAGGGCGAGGCGCUUGAACACGAGCUCGAAGAGGCGGGACGACGUGUCGAGCGCCGGGUCGAAGAAUAUCCCCGCGAGGAACGGCCGCAGGAACCGCUCCACGAUGGACGGCGAGAACCCGAGCUUCUCCAGAUGCGUCGCCGUGGUCGUCUCCGGCGAGGAGACGAUGACGUCGUCCGGGGUGGCGGCCGCGCGGAGCCGGGUGAUGCCGACGAGGAGCUUGUCGGGAAGGGUGCCGACAGGGGAGAAGACGGAGGAGAGGGAGCGGAUGGGGAAGCGGAACGGGUCGGAGAGCAUGUGGAACGGCGACCCGCCCUCGCCGGCGCCGAUAUAUACGAGUGCGCCGGGGAAGAACGGCUGGAGGCGCAGCGCCUGGAAGUCGAGGAGGCGCUGGCACUCCGGGUACGCGGUGAGGAAGAUCUGGAAGCCCCGGUCGAGCAGGUACCCGUCGACCUCGUCGGUGGCGACGCGGCCGCCGACGCGGUCCGAGGCUUCCAGCAGCGUGAACGGCACGGAGAGGGAGGCCAGGUGGGUGGCCGCCGCGAGGCCCGCAAGCCCGCCGCCGACGAUGACGGCCUGCUUGUCGGCCUGGUUCACGUUCACCGAUGUCGCCGCGGCGGAGACGGCGAACCGGAGGGUGGCAUGGCGGCGGGGCGUGGGAGGCGCGGGGACGAGGAGGUGGGCGGCGUGGACGCGCAUGGGGGUUGCGGUUGCGGUUGCGGCGAGUGGCGGGAAGAGACCGGGCAGAAACGGGGAAUCGUGGCGGGGUACGGUUUGGGAGGUGUAG